GCUGAUCCUGCGGGAGACUGCUGCUAUUGGAAUUCGAUUUAGCCAUGCAAGUCUAGGGGCUCUUCGGAGCACCGGCAGAAUGCUCAGUAACACGUCGAUAACCUACCCUUAGGUUCGGGAUAACCUCGGAAAACUGAGGGUAAUACCGAAUAGAAGAAUUUUUCUGGAAUGAUUUUUCUUUGAAAAGUAAUGCCUAAGGAUGGGUCGGCGGCGGAUUAGGUUGUUGGUGGGGUAACGGCCCACCAAGCCGAAGAUCCGUAGGGGUCUUGAGAGAGAUAGCCCCGAGAAGGACACUGAGAUACUGGUCCUAGCCCCACGUGGUGCAGCAGGCGCGAAACCUUUACAAUGCACGAAAGUGUGAUAGGGGAAUUCCAAGUGCCAAUACUUUGUAUUGGCUUUUUUUCAAGAUUAAGAAUCUUGGAGAAUAAGUGGUGGGUAAGACUGGUGGCAGCCGCCGCGGUAACACCAGCGCCACUAGUGGGAGUCGUUUUUAUUGGGCCUAAAGCGUCCGUAGCCGGUUUGGAAAAUCCUUUGCGAAAUUGUCAAGCUCAACUUGACAGCGAGCAGGGGACACUACCAAACUCGAGACCGGGAGGGGUUGAAGGUAUGUUCAGGGGAGCGGUAAAAUGCUAUAAUCCCUUACAGACCACCUGUGGCGAAGGCGUUCAACCAGAACGGAUCUGACGGUGAGGGACGAAAGCCAGGGGAGCAAACCGGAUUAGAUACCCGAGUAGUCCUGGCAGUAAACUCUGCGAGCUAGGUGUUGCAUAUUCUUAGUGAAUGUGCAGUGUCGAAGCGAAGGUGCUAAGCUCGCCGCCUGGGAAGUAUGGUCGCAAGACUGAAACUUAAAGGAAUUGGCGGGGGAGCACUACAAGGGGUGCGGCGUGCGGUUUAAUCUAACUCAACACAGAGAAUCUCACCAGAAGCGACGGCAGGAUGAAAGUCAGGUUGAAGGCCUUACUUGACGAGCCGAGAGGUAGUGCAUGGCCGUCGUCAGCUCGUGCCGUAAGGUGUCCUCUUAAGUGAGGCAACGAGCGAGACCUGUACUCACAAUUGCUAACGACCUCAUCGAGGGAUUGAGCACUUUGUGAGGACUGCCCUGGAAACAGGGAGGAAGGUGCAGGCUACGGUAGGUCUGUAUGCUCCGAAUCUUCUGGGCUACACGCGCGCAACAAUGGUAGGGACAAUGGGAUGCGACUCCGAAAGGAGAAGCUAAACCUCUAAACCCUAUCCCAGUCCAGAUUGAGGGCUGCAACUCGCCCUCAUGACGUCGGAAUCCCUAGUAAUCGGAUAUCAUCAAUGUCCGGUGAAUGUGUCCCUGCUCCUUGCACGCACCGCCCGUCAAACCAACCGAGCAGGGUUUAGAUGAGUUUUAGCUUCUUAGCUAAACCGAAUCUAAGCUCAGUGAGGUGGGUUAAGUCGUCACAAGGUA
rnacentral:rRNA from 1 species